UACGUAGGGUGCGAGCGUUGUCCGGAAUUAUUGGGCGUAAAGAGCUCGUAGGCGGUGUGUCACGUCGGCCGUGAAAACCUGCAGCUUAACUGUGGGCGUGCGGUCGAUACGGGCAUCACUGGAGUUCGGCAGGGGAGACUGGAAUUCCUGGUGUAGCGGUGAAAUGCGCAGAUAUCAGGAGGAACACCGGUGGCGAAGGCGGGUCUCUGGGCCGACAUUGACGCUGAGGAGCGAAAGCGUGGGGAGCGAACAGG
rnacentral:rRNA from 1 species